AGAUGACGUGUGAGAGCAGGUGCUCACAGGGUUCAGAAGAUGGUGUUGAGUCCCCUGGAGCUGGAGCUGGAGUUACAGAUAACUGUGAGCCCCGAACCAUGGCGCUUUGCAAGAACAUGGCAGAGCUGAGACAGAGCGAUUAUCCCCUAAGGACAAACAACUAAAAAGUGAUGAGAUGGGACUCAGACGUAGACAGCAGGGACCGGCUCUGGACUGCUAUGCUAUGUUGAAAUAAAGAUGUUAUGAUUUA